CUGCGCCCGGCCACAGGAACGAAGGCCCCAAGCCUGGCGAGUCGCUGAUCGACCGGGGUCAGGCGCCGAUCUCCGCGGGGCUUGCGAGCGGGAUCGGCACCGCCACGGACGACGAUGGUUGUCCGGAGCACGGUUGCGGCGGGGCUGCGCCCACUGGAUCGGUGGUUUAAUAGUUCUUGAACAAUGAAUCUCUUUGCUUGCAUUGAAUUGUUCGAGGUUUAUGUUAUAGUUUUGAGAUUUCUUUUUAGAUUUGUGCAACUCCACUUUUGCUUGUGUAGUGCUGGGGGUUCUGGAUGUUUCUUGAACUGGGUCGGUGAAGUACUCAUCUAUUCCAGAAUUAAUGCUGGAUUGUGUGGUUCUUUGUUUAGGUACCGGAGAAAAAGCCCUAUCCUUUUCGUGACCUAACGUUUGAGAGAGACAGUUAUUGAGCCAGUUCAGUAACUUGACAUCUGUUCGAAGGCCAUACUCUUCACAGCCAGAAGUGGAUGUAGGAAGUGAUAAGAUGGCUUCGUGUGUCUUUUGCUACCAGUAUUUAAGUCGUGAAGGGAGGACAGAAGCUAAAAUUUGAAUUAAUAUUGGCAGGAUCUGACUUCCAAAAUUUCACUGUGAAUUAACUGCUGUUUUCCAGGAUCACAUCCUGGAAGUGACCUGCAUUGCUUGUUUUAUCUAACGAGCGAGGUACCCAGCUGCUGUACUCCAGUGUCAACAGAGAGAUGUGGUAUGCUUGCAGUCUGAUUAGGAGUCAACAUGCUUUCGGUUGUGAUUCUGUGAUUACAGAAGGUCCAUUGCCAUAUUUAAAGGGGCUGAUCCACAGUGCGCAUGUUGGACAAGGUCCUUGGAUGGAUUUCUGGAACUCCAAGCUAUGUUUCUGAGCUUGAGCAACCAGGCCUUCAUUAUGAAACCUGGACGAGAGGAGGUCCACAGACUAACAGUACAUGGUGAAAAGGAUGUGCUCCAUGACUUAAUAGCGAUUGGAACAGGGAACUAGUGCAUGGGCAUUUCCUUGCAUGGCUGGUGACAGAAGUGACUUUCGGACUCUUGCAUGAUGUAACAGUCUCAGCUCGGCUAAAAGCACACUAUUUCUCUGUUAUCCAAUUUCUGAAGAACAAUACUCUCUGUAGGUAAAUAUUGAUCUUGCAUCUUACAUCUCCUCCAACUGCUUCUAGGCGAAAUGUAUCAGUACAAGUAGCCUUAGCUUGCACGAC